CUCGGCGCUUGCAAACGAUCACGGCAGCGUCGAACAGGAAGAUGUGUCUGCGGAGGGAAUCAAAGCGACGGCCAAAUGAAAAUCUGUCUCUCAGGAGAUGAUACUUCAACACCCGCUGCAUGGGAACCACAAGCAGGUCUCUCAAGAUGUCGUCCAGGGUGGUGAUGGCCGUCUCCACGUGACUGCAGUAUUUCCCGUAGAUCAACAACCUGCGUCCGGUCAGAGCAGAAGGACCCAACCGAUCAGUCGACACAAC